rnacentral:lncRNA from 1 species
GAUCAUUAAACCAUUUAUAAUUUCAAGAUUUAGAUCUAUUCAUCAUUUUUUCAUCUUUUGAUAUUAAGUUCCUCUUUAAGAUCUGAAUUCAAUUAUUGUUUUCUCCUCCUCCGAUCUACAUCAUCCUCUUCUCCUCUUUCUCACCCCUCUGAUCUGUUUCAUCAUCGAUUUGGCUCAAUUGAAAAGUUUUUUUUAGCGAGAAAA